rnacentral:misc_RNA from 1 species
UACAGAGGUCUCAAGCGUUAUUCGGAUUCACUGGACGUAAAGGGUGCGCAGGCGGCCGUGUGUGUAAGGUGUGAAAUCCCGGGGCUUAACCCCGGAACUGCGCCUUAAACUACAUGGCUAGAGUACUGGAGAGGGUAGCGGAAUUCACGGUGUAGCAGUGAAAUGCGUAGAUAUCGUGAGGAACACCAGAGGCGAAGGCGGCUACCUGGACAGUUACUGACGCUCAGGCACGAAAGCGUGGGGAGCAAAAGGG